UCAUAAAUUGUAAAAUAUAAAUAUUUUAUAAAAAUAAAAUUUGCAAGUUUUAAUAUAUAUUACUUUUAAAAAAUAAAUCAUCCCGCGGUAUACCGCGGGUUAAAAUCUAGUUUAGUUUAUUUGAAAUCAGAUAUUAUCGGAUCUAGCAAAUAUAUUUUCUCUUGUCCAAU
rnacentral:sRNA from 1 species